ensembl:snRNA U6 U6 spliceosomal RNA
AUGCUUGUUUUGGCAGCACAUAAACUAAACUGGAAUGAUACAGAGAAGAUUAGCAUGGCCCCUGCACGUGGAUGACACGCAAAUUCAUGAAGCGUUCCAUUAAAAC